rnacentral:other from 1 species
UUUUCCCUGCCAUGUUUGUGAGCACUUGGUAAUAUUUUGAACCAUUAUAAGAUUAUAGGGAACCUAACUUUAGCCUGCCUGUGGGCUGGUUAAGAGGGUACCCACCUGGUGAGACCGGGUUCAAUAAUCAUCAAGUGUCUGCGGCAAUGCGCGGGGAAUUU